rnacentral:lncRNA from 1 species
GGAAGAUGCCACGUUUUCAGGCCCUUCCAGAUAAAGAAGAGACCUGUGGUUAAAUAGACACACCCACCUUCAGAGGCGUGGCACAACCACCUGUUACUUCAGCCGGCCCUUCGGGGGUGGCCUCAACCUGGACACCCCCUCACAGGAGUGCUGGCAAAUUUUUCCCUCACCAGAUUUCCAGGGGUGGUUUACUGCCCUUUGGAACAGCGCUCCAGGCAACUGCCCGCAUGUCCUGGCCCUAAUCCAGCGUGCAAACGUAUUUGUCCGCAGAGAUGGGGUGUUCGCGGGGGUGAGAAUGGCACGCUGUGUGAGCCCAUCCUCCAGAGAAAGAGCACCAGUGGGGGCUGCGUGGAUCCACAGAAACAGAUGGAUGAGGAGGGGCUGGCUCGCGAGACUGUGGAGGCUGAGAAGGCCCACAGUGUGCCAUCUGCAAACCAGAGGCCCAGCAAAGUUGGCGGUGCAGCUCCAGUCCACGCCCGAGGCCUGAGAAGCAGGACACCAGUGUUUGCGGGCAGGAGAACACGGAGGUCCCAGCCCAGCGGGGAGCCAAUUCAUCCCUCCUCCACCUUUGUUCUAUUUGAGCCCCCAUGGAUUGGCGACGUCCUCCUACACUGCAGGUCCUGUGGACGUCUUCUGACCUGGGAAACCACACGGGUGGUGGUUCCUGGAGGAGAAACAGUGCUGAGGCUGAUGACGGGCAGUGCUGGCCUGCAGACCUGCGGGCCCUUCCGCCUUGCUGUGCGGUCUGCGGGGGGUCACCUCCUUCAGGAAGCCUUCCUGGAUCAGAAUGCAUCUGGGUGGAGAGCCCUUUGUCUGCAUUCGCACAGUGCCCUGCCCUUCCCUGCCCAGCCUGGACCGUGUCUGGACAUUAAUGCACCAAACUCAAGUUGUGGUUUCGUGUCUGUGUCUGGAGGCUGUGAGCUCCCUGAGGAAUCCAAGAAGGUGUGUGAGAAGGAAGCCUGGAGCUGGCAAGAGAAGGCGUGCUGGCUCUCUUCUCUCCACUCACAAGCUGCUGGAGCCGACACCUUCACCUGUGGGGAAGAAGGGAUCCCUGCCCUCCUUGGGAUGCCUAUGGUGUCCCACAGAAACGUCUGCAGGCACGUUCUCAAAGGACUGCAGUCCUUUCCAGGUUCUUUUGCUUCUAAAUCUCGGAGCCAGGGGGUGAUGAAGUCCUCGCGGGUGGAGGAGUCGGCAGAGGUCCUGCGGCUCGAGAGAAAUCCCGUCGUGCCUAGAAGCCACGUGUCCUGCCUUCGUGUCCGGAAGCCGGUCCUCCCUGUCACAGGGUUCCCAUCCUCAUCUGCUGCUGUAGAAGGAAAGAGCACGGAGAGUCACGACUGGGAGGCCUCGUGCACCAUUUCAUUUCUGCUCACAUCCUGCCGGCUGGAGCUCAGUGAUGUGGCCACACUGCCAGGGAUGCUGGGAGCAGCUGCUCUGCUUUGGACACAAAGCACUUCUGCAUCAGAAUGGACUGGAAUGUUUCAUCAAGCAAUUACACAAAGGAGUCAGACUUGUUCCAAAACGGAGGAGACAGCCGGCAAAAAUUAAUGUGCAUGUAUGCACUGUUUGCCUCCACACUUGACGUAGGAGACAUCCCCUCUUCUGAGCGGCUAGCGGUGGGGAGGAAGAGGCAGGAAGAGCUUUGCCCUAGCACAGUGAGCCCAGAGUGGGCAAGAAGCAUCUCCUCCGUCUGCCAUCUGCCCAGGAAGUGUCCUCUGGGCUCCUGGCCCAUCUUCGUGCCCUGGGAGCCUCUUACUUAAGCCCCUCUGAAGCCCUGUGUUGCUUGCCCUCCACCUCCUGAGACUGCAGUCUUCCACACGCUUGGGCAUCCAUCUCCUGAGGCUGCAGUCUUCCUCACGCUUGGGCGUCCAUCUCCUGAGGCUGUGGUUUUCCACACGCUUGGGUGUCCAUCUCCUGAGGCUGCGGUCUUCCACAUGCUGUGCGGGUGCCUAUGCGCCUUGCAGUCCGGGGGCAGCAACACUGGCUUCAUUCCUAGUGCCUGCCAGUCUGUGAGCCUUGUAAAUCCACCAAGCUGGGAGCACUCUGAUUAUACACAGACAUCUUCCCUGGUGAAAAGGGUCUUGAGUAGUCAACUUGCCACCAAGUGCCUGAUUCAUCUCCUCAAAAGAUGGUCCAAAUAUGGGGCUCACCCUUGAUUCCUGUUGCUGGAGAAAAGGAGAGUCAGGAGGGGAUCCUGAGAAGAGCCAGCAAAGUCUCGUGAGGACCUGACUCAUCUGAGGCCUCUGCGUGCUGCUAGGCAAGGGGUGUGCUCACAAUCUUCGAUCACGGGUAACAGGCCACUUCUGCAGGCCCAGCAGUGCGGGGAAGCUGGGAGUUCAAAAUUCUCAGAAGUCAGUCCAGAUCUCAAGACUCAGAGUCCCACUCCUUUUCUGGUAUGGCCUUGACCUUGAGGUAGGAGACCUGCAAGCUGAGAAUUCAACCUCCUCUGAGGCUCUGCUGCCCUUACAUGGUUAAGUCCUGAACCUGGCCCUUCGCGCUGACGGCCUUCGGCUGCAAGAGUUAAAGUUUCCGUAAACACUGCAAAGGAAAUCCUGCUUUCACAGCUUGCCUUGAGUUGUCAACUAAUUACCAUAAGUCUGAUUCAUCUUUCUUCAGUGAGUACAUCCAUGGCACUCAGUCCAGCCACCAGCUCCACAGUUGUCUUGCCUCUCCGGUGCUAGAGACGUGCCCGAGCUGGGUGGCACCUUCCAUUUGUGUCCGAACACGGUUAACUUUGGUAGACAGUUUGCAGCUGCCUUGCUCCAGCACACCAGAGACCACUCCUACCGCACUGACCGCUGGUGAUGGCAUCCACAUUGCCAACUGGCCAGACAGUAAUCACCUCCAAACUCCCAUUUUACAGUCGGCCUCCUGGGAUUUCCUGGUAUGAACUGGCUUAGAUUGGGUUCCCUGGAAACAGAUGAAGAGAUGUAGAAUUUCGUCCAGGGGUCACUGGGGAGUGCUCUUGGGAGAAAUACCUGUCAAAAAAAAAGUGAGAAAGGGAAGAUUGGUGAAGAGAAGGAGCCGCAGCAGCAGGAGCAGCUGGCCUCGAAUCCUGCGGUUUCCACUGAGGAGUCAGCCCUUCCCAUGGGGAGCCUGGAGCUUGGACGGCCUCUCAGUGUUUCCCCGGUUGAGGCCAAGGUGCUGAGGCUUUGGGUUCCCACAUCAGCCCAUCCUUGGCCCAGCUUGUCCCUUAGGAAGGGUGUAACCUUGGGAAGGCAGUACCUUGCAGCUGAGGGCAACUCCCCGUGAGGGAUGCAGCUGUGAAUUGUCAGCAGCCAGCGUUCUCAGCAGCUGGGAACUGGACGACAUCCCGAUGAGGGACUCUGAGGAGAACACCAGAGUGUCCGCUGCAGGCACCCUAAGCUCGUGCUUCCCACUGAGCAAACAGGAAGGGCUGGAGUCAGGAAAAGUGGAGGAGCAAAGACAGUGUGUUGGAGGCGGCAACAUCAAUUUCACACCUGUGUGGGUUCUCACACAUUACUCUGUUUGAUCUUGGACAAGUUAAUCAGCCUCUUUGUACCUACGCGCCUCCAUCUAUAGAAUGACAUUACUGACGAGUAAAGACCUUGAAAUGGUGCCUCGCUUAUUGUAAAUACUCAGAAAAAUGUUGUUCCUAUUGCUAUUGGUAUUGUUUUUAUUGCUAUUUUUCAGCAGUCCAAACUUAUUUUCCAGCUACAUUUCACUUCCCGUCACCCUCUAACCUGGCCCUUCGCUGCUUUUCUCCUAAAAC